rnacentral:tRNA from 1 species
GGGUGUACAACUCACUGGUAGAGCACGUGCUUAGCAUGCACGAGGUCCAGGGUUCAAUCCCCAGUACCUCCA